AAAGUUUUGAGCCUGGGUCAUUGGAGAAAGGGACGGAUGACCUCAGCAGUCUCCCCGCCCCAGACACUCCAGGCCCCCAACCCUAAAGUGUAAGAUAGACAGAAGAUAAAAUAUAUGUGUAUUAUAUACAAUACAUAUGUUUAUAUUCUAACCUCGCUCUGUCGCCCAGGCUGCAGUGCGGUGGCAAAAUCAUAGCUCACUGCAGCUUCCACCUCCUGUGCCCAAGUCACCCUCCUGCCUCUGCCUCACAAGUGCCACCACGCCCAGCUAAUUUUUUUACUUCUUAUAGAGACAGGGUCUUGCUAUGUUGGCCAGGCUGGUCUCAAACUCCUGGUCUCAAGUGAUCUAUCUAUCUCGACCUCCCAAAGCACUGGGAUUACCCGUGUGAGCCACAGUGCCAGGCCUGAUCAUUCUUAAGCCCUCAGAUUAAAGGUCAUCAUACUCUACUGUAACUGAAGACCACUUGAGAUCCAUCCCUGAAUCCCUGAUCCAUCCUUCCUUCCUUCUUUCCUUCCUUCCUUCCUUCCCUUCCUUCCCUUCAUUCCUUCCCUUCCCUUCAUUCCUUCCUUCCCUCCCUUCUUUCCUUCCUUCCUUCCUUCCCUUCCUCCCUCCCUUCCCUUCCUCUCCUUCUUUCCCUUCCCUUCCUUCCUUUCCUUCCUUCCUUCCCUCCCUCUCUUCCUUCCUCCCUCCCUUUCCUUCCUUCCUUUCCUUUCCUUCCUUCCUUUCCUUCCUUCCUUCCCUCCCUCCCUUCUUUCCUUCCUUCCUUCCCUUCCUCCCUCCCUUCCCUUCCUCUCCUUCCUUCCCUUCCCUUCCUUCCUUUCCUUCCCUUCCUUCCUUUCCUUUCCUUCCUUCCUUCCUUUCCUUCCUUCCCUCCCUCCCUUCCUCCCUCCAUUUCCUUCCUUCCUUUCCUUCCUUCCUUCCUUCCUCCUUUCCUUCCUUCCUUCCUUUCUUUCUUCCCUUCCUUCCUUCCUUCUUUUUUUUUUUUUUUGAGACGGAGUUUCGCUCUUGUUGCCCAGGCUGUAGUGCAAUGGCGCAAUCUCGACUCAACGCAACCUCCACCCCCUGGAUUCAAGCAAUUCUCCUGCCUCAGCCUCCCAAGUAGCUGGGAUUACAGUCAUGUACCACCAGGCCCGGCUCAUUUUGUAUUUUUUUAGUAGAGAUGGGGUUUCUCCGUGUUGGUCAGACUAGUCCU
rnacentral:lncRNA from 10 species